AACGCGAAGAACCUUACCAGGUCUUGACAUCUCCUGACCACCCUAGAGAUAGGGCUUUCCCUUCGGGGACAGGAUGACAGGUGGUGCAUGGUUGUCGUCAGCUCGUGUCGUGAGAUGUUGGGUUAAGUCCCGCAACGAGCGCAACCCUUGUCCUUAGUUGCCAGCAUUCAGUUGGGCACUCUAAGGAGACUGCCGGCUAAAAGUCGGAGGAAGGUGGGGAUGACGUCAAAUCAUCAUGCCCCUUAUGACCUGGGCUACACACGUGCUACAAUGGAUGGUACAAAGGGCUGCGAUACCGCGAGGUGGAGCUAAUCCCAAAAAACCAUUCUCAGUUCGGAUUGCAGGCUGCAACUCGCCUGCAUGAAGCCGGAAUCGCUAGUAAUCGCAGAUCAGCAUGCUGCGGUGAAUACGUUCCCGGGC
rnacentral:rRNA from 1 species